GACGAAUGCUGGCGGCGUGCCUAAUACAUGCGAGUUGAGCGAUGAAGAUUGGUGCUUGCACCAAUUUGAAGAGCAGCGAACGGGUGAGUAACGCGUGGGGAAUCUGCCUUUGAGCGGGGGACAACAUUAGGAAACGAAUGCUAAUACCGCAUAACAACUUUAAACAUAAGUUUUAAGUUUGAAAGAUGCAAUUGCAUCACUCAAAGAUGAUCCCGCGUUGUAUUAGCUAGUUGGUGAGGUAAAGGCUCACCAAGGCGAUGAUACAUAGCCGACCUGAGAGGGUGAUCGGCCACAUUGGGACUGAGACACGGCCCAAACUCCUACGGGAGGCAGCAGUAGGGAAUCUUCGGCAAUGGACGAAAGUCUGACCGAGCAACGCCGCGUGAGUGAAGAAGGUUUUCGGAUCGUAAAACUCUGUUGGUAGAGAAGAACGUUGGUGAGAGUGGAAAGCUCAUCAAGUGACGGUAACUACCCAGAAAGGGACGGCUAACUACGUGCCAGCCGCCGCGGUAA
rnacentral:rRNA from 1 species